rnacentral:rRNA from 1 species
UACGAAGGGGGCUAGCGUUGCUCGGAAUCACUGGGCGUAAAGCGCACGUAGGCGGCUUUUUAAGUCAGAGGUGAAAUCCUGGAGCUCAACUCCAGAACUGCCUUUGAUACUGGAGAGCUUGAGUCCGGGAGAGGUGAGUGGAACUGCGAGUGUAGAGGUGAAAUUCGUAGAUAUUCGCAAGAACACCAGUGGCGAAGGCGGCUUACUGGUCCGGAACUGACGCUGAGGUGCGGAAAGCGUGGGGAGCAAACAGGG